CUACGUGCCAGCAGCCGCGGUAAUACGUAGGGCGCGAGCGUUGUCCGGAAUUAUUGGGCGUAAAGGGCUUGUAGGCGGUUGGUCGCGUCUGCCGUGAAAUUCUCUGGCUUAACUGGGGGCGUGCGGUGGGUACGGGCUGACUUGAGUGCGGUAGGGGAGACUGGAACUCCUGGUGUAGCGGUGGAAUGCGUAGAUAUCAGGAAGAACACCGGAGGCGAAGGCGGCUUACUGGACAAUAACUGACGUUGAGGCUCGAAAGCGUGGGGAUCAAACAGGAUUAGAUACCCUGGUAGUCCACGCAGUAAACGAUGAUAACUGGGCGUAUGCGAUAUACAGUAUGCUCCUAAGCGAAAGCGUUAAGUUAUCCACCUGGGGAGUACGUUCGCAAGAAUGAAACUCAAAGGAAUUGACGGGGACCCGCACAAGCGGUGGAGCAUGUGGUUUAAUUCGACGCAACGCGAAGAACCUUACCCGGUCUUGAGAUCCC
rnacentral:rRNA from 1 species